AACACAGGUAAACUCACACGGGGAGGCUGAGCUCAUUCAGAAUCUACACACACAACACGGGUAAACUCACACGGGGAGACUGAAGUCCAGUCAAUGCUGGGGCUGCUCUGGGCUAAUGUCCAUUGUCCGAUAAAUUUCUUUAAGCAAUAACAGGGCAGUAUCUUCAGAUUCCCUAUCAAAAAAAAAUAGCAUAAAUGGCUCUGAAGGGCG